rnacentral:rRNA from 1 species
GCCAGAAUUAUAUCAUUCUGCAACUCACAACUGGCAACCCAUGUAAGUUAAGCAGGUGUGAGCCCGGUCAGUACCUGGAUGGUAGACCACCUGGGAAAGCUAAGGUUGCUGCUGGAA